UCCUGGAUCUCGCUGAGGGCAAGACAAAGAUUCACACAAAAGCCUGGGUGAAAAAGUCAGGCUCCAAACCGGAGGCGCUGAAUGAUUCUAUUUACAGAAACUCCUCAAAAUUUCAAAAUGACACAGAGGGAGAACAAGCUGGCGGUGGCCACCGAUCAGGAACGGGAAGGGCGCGUGGGCGGAAACGCCCAGAGGUAACGCGGAAAAGCUGUGGACGCGGGAUGGAUAGCACAAAGCGACAUGCUCACAGGCACGUGUGCACCAAGGAACGCAAGCCAACAGCCGGUGACAACGGAACAAAACCUGCAACUCUGUUGAUAGUGGUAUAUUAGCGUCCACGUCCUGGUUUUAACACUGUGCUACGCCACCAGUAGGGUCACCACUGCGGGAAACCUGGGAGGAUCUUCGCCUGCAUAUCCAGGAUGUCUAACUUCGCCAAGAUUCUUCGUGUCAUCAUCUGCCAGAAGAGACCGCCUUCAAGGGGAGGAGGAGGAGGAGGAGGAAGAGGAGAAGGAGAAGGAGGAAGAAAUCUCUAGGUCAAAUGUCAAUACGUCACUGGUUAUUUCGGCACAAAAAGAGACUCAGCUUUACCUUACUGUUGUGGGUACAUAACAGAGCCGUGCAGAUCACAGGAUAAAUGAUAGCAUUAUAAGCGAACCCAAGUUUCUGGAGAGAAGCCCACAUCAUCGGAACCCCCACAUAUGUGUGGGCCCCAGCAAUUUUUAUGCCUAAGAUAAAGUAGAGCCGGAGAGGGUUCAAGAUUCCUGCAGGAGAACAGGUAUGACUCGAAAAUGACAUCACAAAGAUAGUGACACGGACACGGAUCAUCACAGCAUGGCUGUAGUGGGAAAAAAACUGUUUUAAAAUUCUUUAGCUAUGAGGGAAAUCCCAGCUGUGACAUGAGUUCUGGCAGAUCACUGUGCCUCUCACAAAUUUUUACAAGUUUGGAAGAAUCAAUUAUUUUUAGGUGUUGAAGAGAUUUACGAACACUCAACAAUGAAAUUAAGGGAAUGUUUUUAGUUCCACAGUUUUACAUUUUGGAGGCAACAUUUAUUUUUUUCCAGUUUGCAGACUUCCCCACUGCAGACCUGCGGCAGUGGAGAGCUGUAGGGGAGGAGGAGGAGCGGGGAGACGCUGUAGACAACUUCCUGCCUGCAGCAGCCCCCACCCGGUGCGGCCGGUCUGUGCACCCUGAGAGCAAAGGAGCAAGGACGAGGAGGACGGGACCCGCGCCUGACCUUCUGAUCAAAAUGUGCUCACCCGACUUGACGGUGCUCAGUGCCACAUCCCUGUCUCGGCUGCUCUUGCUCCGGACCUGUCGCUUCGCUGCUUAUUAUCAUCUGAUAUAAACACUCAUCGGUUCUUUAGUCUGGCCUAGAAGAAUCACAUCCACAGGUUCCUCCCUCUCUCCCAUAUCUUUCAUCUCUUUGUUUCCACCGGUUUCUUCUCCCCAAGUGUCUUCUAUGUGUAAAAUAGGGAAAGAAGUUUUUUUUCCUGGCUCUCCUUAUUUUCCCUCACCUUGCCCUUUACUGCCAGUUUUCCUCAUGUCACGGUCCAUGUGUAAAGGUUCUCAUUUCCCGCGUCCCUUUUCCUCCUCCUGUGUCCCUCGGCUCCGCUCACGCCGCCAACCCUCGGGAGGUGGCCAGGUCGCCUUGCACAGAUGAGCGAGUGCGUUUCUGCUCCUGGCUCAUCUGAAUUUUUAUAAGCUCUGCUAAAGUUGGGCGCUGCACUCCCUCUAUGGAAAUUCUUGCCUCUCUUGGUUUCUAUGACAACAGUCAUCUCUUGCCACCUUUUCUGCAGAUUGUCAGGGUCCUGAACGUGCUGUUCCUCAGCUCUCCCUAAGUGCUGCGUCCCUCCUCAAUCCGAGGCAAACUCUCAAACCGUAGCUUCAUUUCCCAGCCAGCCUCUCUGCCCAGCUCCACCCGCCCUCCUAAAGUAGCCAAGUACAGGCUUAAGCGUCGCCUUCCCGCCUCCUUCCUCCCCUCUGCUCAGACAUCUCUUCUAGGCUUGACUGGCAUGCGAGCCUGUCGGGCUUCUCACACGCAUGUGGGAGCCACAGUUGCUCUUGAUCUCGGGUCCAGUGCAGGAGGAGCUGGAAAACCUCCAAGGAACACCAACUCCCAGUUGCCACCCCACAUCCUCUGACUCUGAAUUUACAGAGGCAAAAACUGCAAAUGUCGUCAUUAAUGCCGUUCCGAUGCAGAUCUUCCCCAGACCAGGACGUGACCCUUUCUUCUCCGGAAAACCACUUCCCCCGCCCCCUCUCACCUACACGCACAAUCGCUGCAUCUUCGUGAGCUGCGUCCGAAACCGCUUUCCCCUCGUCUCCUCCCAUCCAUUUGGACCUCUACUGCCUCGGCUUAAGAAUCUACAAUUGAAAUAGCUUAAAGUUUUGCCUAUGCAUUUCAUCCAUUUUAUCUUCCAUUCUACCCUUCUCAUGUAUGAAAUAUUCUUUCAAGAAAAAUAUAAUCACAUGCGUCUCCCUCCUGAAAACUUCCACCCGCCAACAGCUUUCAAAACAGACAUCAAGCUCUGUGAUUUGUCACAUGGAACUCCCGAGUCUGGCCUCAAACUGAGCCCUUAACUGCACCUGCGGCUUGCUGGUGUGCCCUGGACCCUGCAGUCCUAAUGGACCAGUCGUGUUCCCUCAGUGGGCUGCAUUGUGCUUUACUCAUUGCUAUGCUUUCCAAAUCAUCUAUCUAUAAUGCCAUUCUUCCAUUCCCUGUAUCCCUAAAUUCCAUUCAUCCUUCAAAGCCCAACACAAGUAACAUCUCUGCUUGGAUGCUUUCCCUGAUACGUUACGAUCUAGAUGUCAAACAUCUGUGCUCUUGUGCAGUCUUUUAUAUACACCAUCCUAGCACUCAGCCUGAUUUAAUAAAACAUUUAUUAAAAUACACACACACACACACACUCACACACACAAUGUGUUUCUUGAAGGCAGAAACCAUAGCUGACUCAUCGUUACACCUCCAGGCACCCAACAGCCAAAAUGAUGGGUUCACCUUCAGCCACAUGCAACGGACAACGGGCCAUCAGAGCUGCCUGAAACAGGAUGCUGAUCAGAUCCAGUUGUAAAGUGGGAGCCUUGGUGUGUGCCUCAGUAUCCGCAGAAGGACCUCCAAACUCCUCUGAAUAUGAGACCAAAGAUCCCCAAACUCUUCCAAGCAUGAGACAAUUCAAGAAAAGACAGCCUGGGGUCAGCUCAACAACCCUCUCCAGCUGUGUGUGUCCCUCUGUGUUCCCACAUUUGGUUCCAUCCCUGUGACCAGGACAUGGCCUGGUAGGUCCUGCUCCAUCAUUUUCCUUCCACUCAGAAUGCUCUUUCUGCCCAUCUUCUGGCCCAAAGCAGAUUUCCCCAUGCCCUGGUGCAAAGGUCCUGCCUGUAAGAAGCUUCCCUCAGCCUCCCCCAUUCCUUGCCUGGGUGACGGUCUCUCUCCCUUGAGCUGCUUCUGCACUUUCUCCUUGAUUCCGUUGCUUUGUGCUGACUAGAUCCUGCCAGACGUCUCUCCCAAGCUGGAGGGAGGCCCAUCAAAGGCAGCAUCGAGGCAGCCACUGCCACACCUCUGCCUAGGCAAAGCCUUCCCCACCUGAAUGGGGUCUGCGGAUCAGGGUGAGAUCUAGAGAGGUCUCUGAACAUAAAAAUUCAGGCUGAGCAUUCCCCUUGACCUGUAGUAGUGAUGAUCUCCUGCAGGACGGAAGAGGAAGUGGAAUAAAUUACAAAACAUCAGUCUUACCAAAUCUACAUCAGUAAGAUCAUUUUAAAAGGAAAUUGGAUAUGUUCUUAAUUACUAGGUCAGUAGUAAGUUUUAUUUGCAGGGGUGGAAUACUGUUGUGGGAGGAAAUUGAUACAUGACAUGUGGAGAGACAGAAUGGAAGUAAAAUAACAAAAAGUUUAUUUUGUCAACAAAAGGCUGAUCACACUAACAGCAAUGCCAGAGAUUGACCCCUACUGCCUUGCAGCUCCCUCUUUUAUAGGGUUUUACAGCCUUGAUCUCAUUCAGGUGUUGACAUUUCAUUUUCUCAGUUCAUAUUACCAAUAUACAAACCAUGGUCACAAGACAGUUAACUUUCAACCCAGAUGUAGCAAUUCUUUGUAGUUAGGGGAGAGUUAGGGGAACCUUUAAGAUUUGCCUAGCUAUCUAUCCUAGCUCAUAGGACGGGGAUGUUCAGGGUCGGGAAAGCAGAUGUUAACAAAGGUUAUUUUCAUCUUGACACUUUUACAAUCGUGGUUUACAGAACUUUGGGGCUCAGGGUCUUAAUGUGCCCUGUUGUCUCAGGAUGAGACCAGAUGCCUCAUUCAGUGGCUAAUGCCUCUGGUGUCUGUUAAUUCUGAACUCAACAGAGCAAACUGCUAUUAGAGACACCAGAAGCCACACUGCAUUGUGACAUUUUGUAGGUGUUGCUAUUUACAAGAGUUUUCUCUACAAAUACAGUGAAGCAGAGAACUGUCCAGUUGGGGUGCAGUGAAUUCCUGAUCUCGCUAGGCUGGGAACCAACCGGGCCUCACUCCUAUCAGAGAUUUCAGGGCCAACAUGAAGGCAAGUCAGAGGUUGAGUCUGAACUUACCUCACGCAGAGCUUGAAAGCAGCUCAUUUCACAGGCACGAUUUCAUUUUAAAGGUUUGCACCACUGAGACUGAAACCAAAAAACAAACAAAACUAAAUACUGUAGAUUCCAAGGCCCCCUGACUAGGCUUCUUCAGCAAGCUUUUCUAAAAGAAAAAUGCAGGUAAACCACAACAGGAGCCCAAAAACUAACCAGGAAUCCAGAGAGUGAAGGUUUAACCUGAAGCUACUUCGGUGAUGUGGCUUUAUUGGGUCGGAUGUACUUCCCUUACACUUUUAUCUGACGCAGCCCCUAGGCACUGUAGGGAGACCUCCGUGGCUUUCAGCCCCACUUCCAUGAUUAAUUUUCACUCCAUCAUGAGAUGCCUGGCUGGAUCCCUCUGCUUCACACCACAAGUGCAGGCCCCAGGAAAACUUCUUCUCUUUUAAAUCUGAUAUGUCCAUAAAUGGCCCACACUAUGGGUUGAAUUAUGUCCCCUCACCCCCGUGCUGAAGCCCUGAGUUUUGGUCACUCAAAAUGGAGUUGCUGGGAAAUGGGAGGUCACCUUAACAGGGGGCUGUGAGGGGACCCCUGUCCAAAUGAUGGUGCCCUGGUAAGGAGAGGAGAUGGGAGCAGGUGAUGCCUGUGGCAGCCCAGGAGGGCAGCUCCUCACCUGCAGGUCAAGGAGCAGAACCAUGUCAAUCAACUUCCAGCCUCCACAGCCAUGAAAACACUCUUCUGUCCUUUACCAUCUCUGUCUUUGGUAUUUGUUAUGACAGCUCCCAAAAACUAACUAAUAAAGCCCACAAACAGGGACCUCUGAUCCCGAAGCCACCAAUAAAGAGGUCAACUGAACUUGGCCCUGUGCUCAGAUCCAUGCCAUGCAUUUUUACCUGCCCUGUUGGUUCUAAAGAGAAUGUGAAAGGAAGUUUAUUCUUCACUUUUUAAGCUUUACUAAAGUUUGCCCUUUACCAACUUGAGGUUGGAAGGGAGGUUUCUAAGGAAAAACACCAAUGAAUUUCUGAAGUACAGUGUGAGUGCUGGGGAUCCCCGCUAGGGCCACAGGUCAGACCCCUCAGACCACACCGUAAGCCACACAGGGACUGACUCUCCCCGCACCGGCCUGCACCCUCCUGCCUCGGCUUCUCCAGGCUCCACAGGGAACCCAGGCCAAACACUGAUGCCCAGGGAGCUGUAAUGGGAGGCAGAAGGGGUCAAAAGGAAGCCUGCUACUGGUAAGGGCAGGAGAGGGAAGGCUUUGCUGGGGGAACCCUGGAUCGGCUGUGCAUGCACAUUGCCUGGCACCCGCACCCCAACCCAGUUGCACUCCCCGCAUCAGCCUGGCCUCCACCCAGAUGCAGCUCCUGGCUCUGAUUCUGCUUCCCAAGGCCCCAUCUGCCCAGUAAGUCAGCUCCGUCUUCCCUUCUGCUCCCUCCCCUUCUAAGCAAUGCGUCCUGUAUCCAUGGAAACAACUUCUAGAUUCAAGCGGAUUAGGUGGAAGUCUUGGCAGGAAAGAGGAAGACCGAGGAAGAGGACAGACAGUGGGGCAGUGACUUUGCUUCCUUUAAUCCCUUCUGCCUUUUGUGCUUUCCUUUGCAUAACACACAAACACACACACAGUUUUCUUUUUGUUAGAAACUGCUAGUCAUAGCCUACGUGUGAAAACAUUGUGAUCAAUUUCUUUCACAUACUUAAUGUAUAAGAAAUGCAAUCAUAAAAAUAAAAAUGUAUGAGGUGGUUUAGCUGGGAUUGAUAAGCAUGCCAGUAAUCCCAAAAUUCUGGGAGGCUGAGG